GACGGAGGAUGCAAGUGUUAUCCGGAAUCACUGGGCGUAAAGCGCGCGCAGGCGGUUCUUCAAGUCAGUGGUGAAAGCCCGGAGCUCAACUCCGGAACUGCCAUUGAAACUGUAGAACUUGAGGAUGAGAGAGGUGAGUGGAAUUCCCAGUGUAGAGGUGAAAUUCGUAGAUAUUGGGAAGAACACCGGUGGCGAAGGCGGCUCACUGGCUCAUUUCUGACGCUCAGGCGCGACAGCGUGGGGAUCAAACAGG
rnacentral:rRNA from 1 species